AUGUCUGACAUGGACUUGGUUGCUUACAUAAACGAGGAGAACAAAAGAAGAAAGAGGAGACGGAUAGUUUUGACCAAACUGUACUUUGAAUCGUUUCUUCUUCGGAUAGCAUAUCUUAGUACGAGGAGGGCACCAAGGAAUUUAGGGAGUUUUAGUGACGAUGAGGAAAAGAACAUUCAUCGGAAGUAUUUGCUAAAAGGAAUGUAUGAUGGGGCAGAAGUAACAUGCUAUGAUCAGUUGCGUUUAACUAAAAGAAACUUCCAUGACUUAUGCACCAUGUUGCGUGAGAGGGUUGGUCUUCAUGACAGUGUCUAUGUUUCCAUGGAGGAAAAGAUGGCAAUGUUCUUGUUGGUAGUUGGCCAUGGUAUCAAAAUGAGGAUUCUGCGUGGCACUUACAAGCGCUCCUUAUGGACUAUUAGUACCCACUUUGACGAUGUAUUAACAGCGAUUCUAUCUCUAACCGGGGAGUUCAUUAAGCUUCCUGAUCCUUCUACUCAGCCACCUGAUGAUUACAAAUGGAAGUGGUUUGGCAAUGCACUUGGAGUACUAGAUGGGUGUCAUGUUGAUGUUUGUGUGCCCGUGUGUGACCAAGGGAGAUAUAGGAACAGGAAGCAAGCUAUCAGCACUAACAUGCUUGGUGUGGUUGAUUGGAAUAUGAAAUUUAUGUAUGUCUUGCCUGGCUGGGAGGGUUCAGCUUCUGACUCAAGAGUCUUGCGUGAUGCAAUGAGGUUGAGCCACCAAGAUGCAUUUGUCGUACCAUAG
rnacentral:rRNA from 1 species